rnacentral:rRNA from 1 species
AUUGAACGCUGUCGGCAGGACUAACACAUGCAAGUCGAGCUUGCGGCGGACGGGUGAGUAAUGUAUGGGGACUGCCCGAUAGCGGGGGAUAACUACUGGAAACGGUAGCUAAUACCGCAUACUAUCGGAUAACCCAUAGGGGAUUAGCUAGUAGGUGAGGUAAUGGGUCACCUAGUCGACGAUCCCUCGCUGGUCUGAGAGGAUGAUCAGCCACACUGGAACUGAGACACGUCCCAGACUCCUACGGAGGCAGCAGUGGGGAAUAUUGCACAAUGGGCGCAAGCCGGAUGCAGCCAUGCGGCGGGUAUGAAGAAGGCCCUAGGGUUGUAAAGUACUUGCAUUCGGGAGGCGUUACCGACAGAAGAAGCACCGGCUAACUCCGUGCCAGCAGCCGCGGUAAUAC